rnacentral:rRNA from 1 species
CCCUGGCGGGCGUGCCCUAAUACAUGCAGUCGAGCGGAUUGAAGGGAGCUUGCUCCCUGAUAUUAGCGGCGGACGGGUGAGUAACACGUGGGCAACCUGCCCUGCAGAUGGGGAUAACUCCGGGAAACCGGGGCUAAUACCGAAUAAUCGGUUCUUCCGCAUGGAAGAACUCUGAAAGACGGUUUCGGCUGUCACUGCAGGAUGGGCCCGCGGCGCAUUAGCUAGUUGGUGGGGUAACGGCCUACCAAGGCGACGAUGCGUAGCCGACCUGAGAGGGUGAUCGGCCACACUGGGACUGAGACACGGCCCAGACUCCUACGGGAGGCAGCAGUAGGGAAUCUUCCACAAUGGACGAAAGUCUGAUGGAGCAACGCCGCGUGAGCGAAGAAGGUUUUCGGAUCGUAAAGCUCUGUUGCGAGGGAAGAACAAGUACGAGAGUAACUGCUCGUACCUUGACGGUACCUCGUUAGAAAGCCACGGCUAACUACGUGCCAGCAGCCGCGGUAAU